GCUAAUUAGCGUGAGGGGAAAGGGGACUCUGAGAGGACUGUGUUAAUUAGCAAAAGGGAUCACAUAUCUCAGCUUAUAUUAAUUUUCAAAUGACAAGACACAGGUGCACAUUUAGUGGCAGUGAAUGCAUGUUAGCAUUUAAGGGCUUUUCUUUCUUUUUUUUUCCCUUGCUUUUUUUUCCACUCCAAUGGAUGGAUCUUCCUUUAGAGGGAGUUAUCAGAAGGGAAAAUCUCAAAGUGACUGGAAGUGCUGUAUUAAUCUCCCAGUGCAUUAUCCAUGGUACCUGUAACAAAAACUUGGUAGAAGGAGAGUGUCUGAAGAGGCCGUUUGGUUUACUGGACUGGAGACUAUCAUAGAAAUACUUCUUCCUCCCAUAUGUAUGAGGCAGCUGAACUCAAGUAUUGCAAGUCUGGAAAAAUGCCCUUCCGCGUCCCUGGAUUUCUUGGCACUUCUAACAGAGUGGACAGAAGCAUCUCAACCUUCAUGUAUGGAGGUGCUGGGCCAGGUACAGCCUGCCUACGUGGAUCACAUCUCCAGAGACACUGCUUACUGCUUUAGGUAUGCUGAUUCAGUUUGCAUGUUUCUUUGGAAUGCUAAAAUGAAUACAGUAAAUGAAUAGAAAUGUCAAGACACUGCGAAAACAAAAAAUGUUGAAAGAGAAUUCUUAUGGACUGAUGAACUGAGAGCUGAAAUGGGAGCAGCAGAUGAGAACCAGUUGGUGGCCGGAUACUAUAUGCUGGAUCUCCAUUUUUAAGCCAUCUUUGAGACUGAUGUGUUAGACAAGCAGAAGCCAAACUGCUGGGGGAGUUUCUGGAACUACACAACAACUUGCUGUCAGAGCAAGUUGCACCAUCACAAGGCAUCACCUCUGCUUUCCAGACACUGAGUCUCCAGACAAUUAAUGUUCGUCUGCAGUUACUACGUUGUCUCUCUCACACUUCUCCUUGAUGAUUAUGAAACUGCUGAGCCGAAUUACACUUUAUAAGGUGAUAGGGAAAAGAUCUAACAUCUAUUUUUCCAUCUUGCAGAUUUUACAGUGUGAGUGAUGCUAAUUUUUCAGCCUAAAAACCAACCAAACGCUGACGUCCUGCUUCUCCUGAACUGGCAUUGUCCAGGUAAACAAGAACAUCUGAAAUCACUGAUUUGUGGCUUAUGUGCCAAAUCAUUGAGCCCCACGUCACAUUAAUCACUAGAAAAUGAAAAAGGGUGAGCUGUACCUGACUCUGAUGUUUCUGUUCCCUACUAGUGUGCUGGCAUCCAUCCUUAGAGAGCGCUGGGCCCACUCUGUGUAUGGUUUUCUACCGGUGACCCAGAGAGAGAUGUGGUGGCUGUGAUCAGUUUCCCAGUUCUUGAGUAGACCAAGCCCUACAGGGAUUUAUCUGUGAUCCUCCUUGGCUCUAAUGUAUGCUGUCUUCUGCUUGACUUUCAGCCGUGGAGACAGGUGACAAAUAAAAGUAUUAGAAGAACUUGACUCAGUGGUAGGAGAAUUCACAGCAUGAAGUGUUUUCUAUCUUUGUUGAGAUCUUUUCACCAUGUGAAAAGCUCGGGUUUGCCAUUUCUCUUGCUGUGUAAUAGGCCAUGCAGUUUGUUCCACACACUUACUGCCUGACUAGUUUUGAGAUGUUCUUGCAUUAUAUCAAUUGGUAAGCAAGUUCUUGUCAAAGCCAGAGCAUAAAGCUUACGUGGGGUUCUUGUGUUCCUUCAAGGUAGCCAGUCUGGCAUUUUCUACACGAAUGAAAAUUAUUCACUGAAUGUGUUCCAUGUGAGGUUUGUUCUAUUAUGUUUUUCAAGUAGUUCUAAUAACUUCUGAGAUCUAUGUCAGCUUACAAAUAGAGAAUGAUCACCAAUUAUAUUACAAAAAUAACAAUGAAAGCUUAAUAAGGAGAAACUAAUACUGUAGCUUCAUUAGUAAGAUCCGUAGUUGAAUUGCUAUGCUUCUGUUUUCUUUUUCCUUUUUCUUUUUCAUUUUUUUUCUUUUCCUUAAAUCUCUAAGCACAUUUUCACUUAUUGUAGAAGCACUGAAAUUCAUUUAUACUGGUUUUUUUUGCUUGGUCUUGUUCUGACAUUUCUCAAAGCCACUCUUUGGGUAUGUACCUUUGGCUACUAACCGUGUGGAUUUCAUUUAGAGAUGAGAAAGCUUCUUUCCAGUAACUUGUCAGCCCGGAAAAUCAGCCCUGCAGGGUAACACCCAGCCCCUUCUUUAAAUGUCAAGGAGAAGAACAUAUUUGUGCUCUUGUAUUGCAGAGAAUUCACAGCAGCUUCACUUCUGACUUGGAAGCCUUGGACGGAAGCAGGUAGCCUAUUCCUCGUAUGGUAGGUUGUUGGGCUUUGAUUUGUUUCUUUUUUUUGUUUUAGUCCAUGUGUCAAACCAAGUGGCAAGACUACUUUUUCAUAAGUUUAUGCCCCUGUGGGUAGUCUGUGGCUUCCUAAGGGCCCCAUGCUAUGCUUGCGUCUGGCAGAAGAUGGCCUUGUAGGGAUAGAGGCAAAAAUCUUUCUGGGGCAGGAAGAUUAAGAAAGCUUUUCAUUCCCACCAGAGUUAGAGGCCAAGAGAGAUUAACAUUAUCUGCUUUCUGUUGUACUCAGUGGAGGGGACUGUACCUUAUGAGCAGUACAGUGGGAAGAAAUAUUUAAUCAAACUGAUUUUCUACUUGCUACUUAGAUUCAUGGUGACAAGUCAAAAACAUUAUGGCUCCCGUGCUAGUUUGACUGAUCUUUCAUCCAAUUUCAGUCCUGCAAGUUUGACAAAUAACACUUUUCUUGUGCCAGUUAGAUUCCAGACAGUCCUGUUAAGCUGUAAAAUAGGGACUUGCAGAGGCUUUGAAUCUACUGGAAUGCAUUUCAAGGUUUUGAAUUUGUAGGGCAGAAUCUAGGAGGAGGGAGAAUGCUCCUGUUUCAGGAGCCCAGGUACACUGGGUUAGCAUCAGGGCACCUGUUCCAGCUCUGAGGAUCCCACAGAUUUACUGACAUGCUGGAAGGACCCUGAUAGGGUCCUUCUGGCUGCAACAAAAUAAAACUGCUUAAUGCUCUAAUGAGGAUCUGAAAUCUUUUUCUUAUUAAGUAACCUCCUCUGCCUGGGUCCACUGAACUUCAUGGACUUGCCAUGGAGGAAAGAGCUUUGUUUAGUCUUUAGGACAAGCAGGAUUUUAAAAUCAGUUGCUGAAUUUGCGUUCUUCUUAAAAAAUUUCUCUGUUGCUGGUUGCUACACAGGGUUAAAGAAUAAAUGCUCUGCUGCAGGCUUUGGGGGAAAGAGAAGCCUACAUCUUUUCUGUAACUGCCUAGUGGUAUAUGAUAGUUAACAUUAAAAAAAAAAUCUUUUAAAAAGGAGCCUUCUGAUUUAGUGAAAUGGAAUCCUAGUGAGGGAAGGGAAGGAGGUCAAGGAGAGCAGAAAAGAGGGAAGACUAUGGCAUAAGCUUCCCCUUCUAUUAACUGCAGGCACAUUUAAACCAGCUGUUGAUGUAUUAAAAAAACUUUUAAACAUCCAAGACAUAUGCAUUAAAACCUAACACAUCUAUUCUGUUAGUUUGUACCAAGAGUUUAGAAACAGCACCCUCUACUUUCAGUACUCUUCAAAGGCAGCAGUGUCUGGAGCUUGCCAUUCCACCAGGUAACAUCCAUGGUACACAGACCUAGUUCAGUACUAGUUCCUCCUCCUAGGGGUGAGGACUUGCCAAGGGUGGAAUCCUGCCCCAUCAGAAACUUGGGCAGUGGGAUGCACUCUUUAGGUUUUUGUUUUCUCUGUACACUCACACUGACACCUGUCCUCUUGCCCACAUCCAACUCACGGAAUAAAUUGAAGGACCGAGUCCCACUGGUAGGCACUGGGAAACAUCAGUGAAACCAGUGGAACUGAUGACACCAAGUCCGGUGUCUGUAGCAAUAUUUCAAGUUGGAGCAGGCAAGACAAUCAAUUGUGAGAACGGGUGAUGCUGGACCUCAGUCCUUCCCUUGCUCCCCUCCCCUCUUAUUUAUAGGUUUCUAAUUUCCGCUGGAUAAUGAAUAUCACUCUUCAUUAUAAUUAUGUUAAAAGGUACCAGCAUGAUGAUUCAGAAACCCUUGAAGAUAUAGUCAUAUUUUCAGCAACAGAUGGAUUUAACACUGCAGAUGGAGUGUUAAGAGUGCAGGUAAUAACAAACUCAGCAAUGUACUGUACUGAAAUAUAAUUGGAAAGUAUUAAUCAUAUAUUGGUUACUUCAGCUUCACUAAGUAGAUGUUUAAUUUUCAUCAAUCUUUUUAUAAGAUUCCCGGAAAGGUUUCUUUGUAGACGAAGUGUGGCUUCUAGGUGAAAGGAUUGCCCAAGUUAUUAAUGACCAAGGCCUUGAUCUUGCAGGCAUGUGCCCAUGGCUUACCCAGGCAUGCAGAAUAAAAAUCAUUUGUGUUAAUAAGGCUGUCAGAUGGGGCCCCAUUCAUAUGGCCUAAAGUUUCAGCUGGUGACGAGUCGGUAGUAAAACCAAGACCCUUCUGAACUCGGGGGCUGCUGGAGGCCUGCCAACAGGAACUACUGACUGCAGAUUUGGGAAGAAUGCAGGCAGGUUGGAAAGCCUGGUUUGCAGAGGUAAACCGUGACUUUAUGUCUUUGCAGGACUGGAAUUUCGCAUGCCAAUAACACUGGGAGAGACCGCUUUUUUUGUAGUUGUUUUUUUGCCAUUCCUUACUAUUUUCUCUAAGUACAACCCUUUAUAAAUAAUCUGCAUAUGGGGAAAUGUCUGCUACUGUUUCCAUAAACCCUGUCAUCUGACCAUUUUUUUUAAUGUGGGGGUUGAAUUUGAAGCCUGGGUGACACAGGGGGUUUUUGCUCCCACCAGGCCAUGCAGGGCCAGUGGAAUCAGUGGUGCCCAGUUCCACACCAUGACUCUGAUUCUUUAAUUAAUGUUAUUUAAGAUUUCAUUUUUAGGGUCAGAAAUUGGCCUGUGCUCUGCUGUGACGCCUGUAGAUGGCAGGGAGUGCUGUAGGGCAAACCUCCAGCUCACAUGGGGAAAAUCUUCAUCUGUUUUAUGGCAAAAAUGUAAAACGUUCUAUUUUUGUGAAAACUGAUGUCUUUUCUUUUGACUGUGAUUCUGUGGAUGCGAUACCUCGGAUUGUUUGUAUUCAUGUUCUUCUCUGUGAGUUUUGGCAUCGUGGCUGCAUCACAGAGUCACAGACAGGGGGAGGAGGGAAGGGCACCUCUGGGUCCAUCUGGUCCAACUCCUGCCCAGCAGAACACCCAGAUCAGAGUGCCCAGGCCCACCUCCUGGUGGCUUUUGAAGAACUGCAAAGGGGAGACUCCACAGCCUCUCUGGGCAGCCUGUGCCAGUGCUUAGUUGCGUGCCAGAGCAUCUCCACAGACCUUCAUAGGAGCUUUCCUUCCUUGUGAGAGCCCACAGCCAUGGUACGCCAUGAUGAACAUGGGCUGACCAGGCUUGUAGACAGCAGUAUAAACAUUUAAUGCAUACAUUUUAAACCCCGUGAAAUAUCUUUAGUUGAAAUAUUUUGUUUUCUAGUUGUCUGUGGACCCUGAGACCAUAUUGAAAACCAGAAUUCUCUCUGGAGCAUUGACUCUCACUUGAUGGUACAAUAGACUUCUACUUUUUUUUAUCUUGUCUGAGGAGGAAAAAAAGAUCUGGUAACAAAAUUCAGCAUGGCUAAAAGUAAAAAUCAUGAUGGUGAACACACUAUAAUGCAGGAUUAGUGUACUCUUUACCUUCCGAAAGGCACCUGUUCCCCAGAGAGAAACAAGCAAGUGCUGAUCAAUUGACCAUGACAAUGGAAGGAAGGGCUGGGAGUGUAAGUGAUUCUGAAUAUGGUGUUCCUUUAAGGGUACCGGACAAGACGACUUGCCUGUAACACAGCUUCCAUACUACUGUCAUGGGGAAGCAGCAGCUUGUUGCUAGCUAUCAUGUGGAAACAAAUGGUAAUUUUAUUUUCACUGGCACUUGGAAAUCAUCCUUCCCUUAUCUUCCCAGUUUCUGGGUGGACUAUGGGAUGGGCACAAGACCCAGAGCCACAGCAGGUAUUGCAGUCUGGGCUGGGUUCUGGGCAGCACCUGGAAUCGCCUCUGAGCUCUCUGUGUGACAUAUGAUGAAGGUGGUGGCACACAGAUGACGUACGUGACUGCCCAGGCUCCAGCACACAGGGUGAUACAAAGGGCAAGAGUCAUGGUGGAUCAGUUUUCCUGGCUGGAUGCAAUCUGAAGAUCCAUCUCCUGUGUACAUACCGGUAGGAUAGACUUUUGAUCUCUGUGGCAAUGUUUGUACUUUCCUUCUCUCUCUCUCCCCAUUUUUUUUCUACUUUAAUUAUGAAAAUUAAUUGAAUCAAAAGUGAUUUAAACUGUCAGGCUUCUUAGUCUUGAUUUAAAUCAGAUGUUUUAAAGCUUGUUCUGCGUUAGUAGUAUGAAGUCAUGCUUCUACGGAGAGUUUCAGUCUCACUGUUCACCAGUGGGACAAGGACAUUGGUACUUGUUUGUGAGAAACAGGCAGAUCAUGCAUUGCAUAUGCCUGUAAAUAAUGUAGCUUAACACUCAUUAAAAAGCUAUCUAGCUCUGUACAGAAGGUACUAAGAGGCAGUAGAUCUGCCUUCAUAAAUCAUCUCAUAGUUGGCUCUGUAAGAUUUAAGUUCCAGGGGACUGAGCCUAGAAGGAUGCUACUCACACCCAAGAGGACUGAGCAGGUGGCAGUGACUUCAAACACUGGGACUCAUGAAAGCUGCAGGGCCUCUGUUAUCUUCCCACUAACACUGGGACUUCUACCUGUCCCUGUUUGCCCUGCAUCAUCUUAGGAUAUGGGGUUUGAUUUUUCCAAUUACCGUGAUGAUGUUUUUCAUUUGUGACAAACUGCUUUUGGAUGAAAAGUGCAAUUCAAGCGAAAUUACAAACUACUGCCUUAAGGAAGCAUUUUAUUUGCUAAGUCAGGCUGUGUGAAACGUGCUCUAUGUAUCAAAAAUGAAAGUAAAGCAUAUCUGAUAUUUUAAAACUUGAUAAAUUAUUGACAAUGGAAAAAUGCCCUGAGUUAAUCAGUCUGAUGGUUUUGUCACCAUUUGUCCCUUGAGGAUUCAGAAGUAGUGGAUCAUGCUUUAAUGUUGGUCUGCCCUCGUCAUUUGGAAGAGAGAAAACAAACAUUCCCGUGCCUCAGCUCAUCAGUGUCUGCAGCUGACUCAAUCAGCUGUAGAACUGAAGGGAAGGAAACAUAAAUUGAUGUGAAGAAAACGUUCUCCCUGAAGCUGCAGAAGCAGCAAUGGUUGUCAAAAUCUGAUCUUUAUCCCUUCAAAGACCUGUAGUUAGGGUCACUGAUCGCAUUGUCUCAUUCAUUGGCUGGACUUUUAUAUAAGUUUGGAAGAUAGGCACUGCUUUAAUAUAUUUUACUUAAUUUAUUAAAAUAAGUUUAUUGCAAGACCGUGUUAAUAACAAAUGUGACUUUUGGCACACAUCUAGAAAGGAAAAUCAGCAUUUAAGCUUCUCUUUCUAAAGACUGCUGCUGUUUCUUAUUCACUAUCACAGCCACAGCAUGUAAUAGUCUGACAAAACAAUUGUAAAAUAUAAAAAUUUUUUCUCACUUUGAGACUUGUAACUCAGUAGUUUGUGUUGCAGAAAUGCUCUGCCUAGAGGUUAGCCUGUUGCAUUUAUUCACCUUGGGUUUGCUGGGCUUGCGUGCAUGAUUAUCCAGUGACACAGUGCUGUAACUUAUUGCCCAGGCUUCCUAAACAAAUGCUAAGCAGUCUGCUUUGGGAGUGAUUUCAGACCACUUAGAUUCCCAGCACUGUGCCCUAGACCUCUCAGGCUGCUGCACUGAAUUACCUGGAAUAAAUUCUUUGAACUCAGGUGCCCUAUUAUCCUUGUUGUCUUAAGUGGAGCCAUUAUUUAAAUGUUAUAUUUUUCUUGGCAGUUUCUUUGCCAUGCAACUUUCCUCCCUUUACUUUGAAACUGUGCUUAAACACACAAUGGAAUACAAUGCUGUUCCUUUUCUCAAGUAAAUUUGAAGAAGUGAAGGAGCAUUAAAAGAUGAUCAUUUUAAAAAAUGCAUUAAUGAUACAGGGGAGAAAAAAACAACAACUUCUCUGUUGGUAUUUUGGGUUUGUAUUGUCCGGACCAGUUAUCAUUCAGCUCUCUACCACAGCAGCUGGUCAGCUCUGCUUGGAUAUCAAACUUGGCAGAUCUCCCCUCAAGCCAUCGGCCAUGAGAAGAGCACUACUUCACCAUGUUUAUCUUUCUUUUGAGCUGAAGACCUGCUUCCAUCUUUUGCUGCCUGUUUUUAAUUUCCUUUUUCCACCUGUGAUGGCAGCAGCUUCUGAGUUAGGAUGGAGCUUUCCCUGCAGCUCUGCUCUCACUCACAGCAGCACCAUUACUCAUCCCAUGGGCAGAAUGGGCUUUCUCAUCACUGCCAGUUUUAUGCUACCCACCGGAAUCCUACUCCUGGCGGGUAUUGUUUUUGUGAGUGCAUGCCUCCUAGUUCUAUUAAAUAAUACAUGUCUGCCUUGAGAUCAGCUGCAUUGAGCAUUUGUGGAAGUUAGGUCUUCUGUGCCUCUUGGAUCCUCUGAAACACAUUCCAAGAGAUCCCUCUGGUUCUCUUUGAGCUAUUUUUUUUUUAUUUUCUUAAAGAUGCAAUUGAUACUGGGCAUGACAGAAAGUCACUUCAGUACAGCAUUGAGACCUCAGUUUAUGGGAUUAAAUGCUACAUGCAAGCUUCUUUACUUACAUAACUGAUAUUUCUUAUUUUAUUACAGCACACAGUUUUUUAAAGCUGAACUUUGAAGCUGAUCCCUCUGUAACGCUUGGUGGAAAUGCCUAGCUCUGUUUGUACGCUGUCACAUGAACAGAUGCUGACAUGCACCUGUACUCGGUCUCCACUGGGAACCACACCAUGUUGAACUAGCUGGACAGUUUUUGAACCCACUUCAUGAUAAAAGAAUAGGUUUUUAUGUAAAAAGGUUUUAGUGAAAAGCAUGUGCUUUGUGUGCCUAGUUUUAUUUUUUAUUUUUUUUUUGCUAGAACUAAAAAUUGAUGUACAUCUUUUGACUUGAGAAUUUCUGUUCAAAAUAUCAACUGUCUGUGGAAAAAGGAGAUGGAGAAGAUUUAUCUGAGGACUUGUCAAAAUUCUGUCCAGACAUGGUGAUGACAACUUCUGUGUUUUAGCUACUUAUCAUAAUUUGUUGAUGUUUUAGAUACUCUUGUUUGAUAUUUGUAUUCAUGUGGCUUAAGUAAAUGAGUUAGUUGGGGUUUAUUCCUGAUUUUACAUACCAUUGAUUUCCUUUGCAACCCUGCACAUAAUUUUACCAAGACAUUGGCCAGUUUUGCAUGCUUUGUCUCAGGAACUGGGGGACGAGGGUGGAGGGUUUGGAGAGAGCAAAUCAACGUGGAGAACCCUUAGCUUUAACUGAGGUGCUCAGUACUCAUGUCUCUUUGAAGUCAUGGGUUCCCAGCAUGAAUUAACUACUAAUGCUGCUGCAGAGCACUGGACAGGCACCAUCUGGGCAUGCAAGCUCUAGAAAGACAAAGUCAAAAUUAGGAUAGAGAAAACUUAGCAGCAAAAUCAGGAGAAUGGAGAGUCUGUUGUAAGAGAGAGGUAGGAAUUGGCUCAUUGAACUCAACCCAAAAUGACACUAUUUACGCUAAUAGGUAAUAUUGACACAAAAAGCAAGCAUGUAAGCUGCCAUGGAAAAAGGGUGAAUUCGAUCUAGCAGAGAGAAAAGAUUUUGAACAAUUCACAAAUGGAGACAAGGAACUUCAAAAUUGGAGCAUAGAACAUCUGUGAAUGGGGUGUUAUGUGCUGACUGUUUAUGGGUGAAAGGGGCAGAAGGUGGCAGCCAGAUCCCAGGGUGCUCCCUCCAACCUCCAGCUGUGAUUGACCCUGCCUCCCACCUGAUGAAUCCCCCAGCCCACAGGUUUCAGGAGGUUUCCAUCUGUUAUCUUAUUAAACAUUGCAGCACUCUGAGGAUCUUUAUAGGAGACAGUGCUGCAGUGCUCAUUCCUUUCACUGCUUUGCCUGUUUUCCAAAUCUUACAGCCCCAGUAGUAGGGAUCUCUGCUAGCUAAUGGCACUCACUGCUGCUCACUGGACUUGCCUGGAACUGCAGAGGCUGUGCUCAAAACCAGACUUUUUUUUUUUUUAAGAUACACUAACUGGCAUUGAAAUAGAGUAGUGAAGUCUGCACUCAAGUAUUAAUUUUUUUAUAAAUACUUGAGCUGUUCUCCCAGAGAAGUGUUGCUCUGGAGUUGGUCUACAUGUUCCUUGUGAGGGUGGCUGCUGGACCGGCACCCUGUGCAUCUCCCUGGAGCACUGUCCUCUGGCUCAGAGACGGAGUGACAAGUGAAUGGUUCUGUCUUGAUGAAGCUCUUCAUCCACCUCUGUGGCCUCAUGCUGCUCUCCCAGUUCAUGAUCUGAAUGGUGCAUCCAUGCCCACUGAUAACCAGUGGCCUGAGACUCAUGGGGUUAUGUUGUCUAACAUGAUUUCACUUUUCGUAUUUCACCUAAAAGAACAUUUACUUACGAUGUUUAUUCCCCCAGCUGCAAAUUCCUCCAUGAGCAGGCAGAGAUUGUCGCACUGUCACAAACUGGGUAGCAUAGGAGCAAGCAGCAGCGCUCUGCUUCUCCUGGAGAUGAGUUGUGCUAUUUCAAACUGUUUGGCUAAUCAAUAAGCUGAGAUCUGCAGCUUCACAGACAAUAUAUAAUAUUUUCUUUGCCUCUGUGCAUUGCUUUACAUUUUGGAUCCUUUUCCAUUAGGGUCUGAAGCAUAUAGACUGCAUCUAAUCCAAUUUAUCCUGUUCAUCUUGGCAAUACUGGCAAUGCUGACAGCUCAGAGAAAACACUUAAUUUGACUAAGUGUUUUCAGUUUGCUUCUCAAAAUAUUUGAAAUCAUUAAAGCCAGAGUACCUCUGUGCUGCGAUAUACAGUCCUGACCUACUUUAGCAAGUUAAUUACAAUUUGUAAAUCCCGCGGUCUUUGCUUAUGCUGCAGGCUGAAUAGGAAUUUACCUAGUUAAGACUGGGCUCGGUGUUUGAGAAUAAUUUUCCUGGUUUGAUGCAUUUUAAUACAACUCUUGAAAAAGCACUUCAGCAUUUAGAGGAAAACCAGGGGCUGCUGGGUGCGUGGUGCUCUCUGUGCUGCGCUGCCCAGGGCGUCUACACUGAGUGCUGAGCUCUGUGCAGAUGCUCUCCCAGCAUACAGCUGCUCGAGUAUGUGGUGUUCAUGGCUGCUUGUGCUCAUCACUGCGUGCUGUGCCUGAAGUUUUGGGAGAUGUCAGGAGGGUCUCAGCUUUCCUAGAUGUUUUAUGAUCUGGUUUGUCAUUGGGAUGCAUGUUUAUUGUAGAGUCAGGAAUGAUUCAAAAAUGAUGAAACAGGUUUCUAAUCCCAACUUCUUACAGAUUGCAUGAAAAAUAAUAUGGGUGAGUGGCUCACAUUGCUCUGCUGGAUAGGCCCGGCUGACUAGCUAUGGUAGUUUGCUAGCACUGGAACAUUUGUCUGGGACAAUAAGGCCAGCUGAAAUUGCCAGGCACUGGAGGACAGGAGAUCAUGCUACACCAACACAGAGAUAGCUCACUUUGCAACAUCAAUGUGAUGCUGUUCUUCUGAUUUCAUUAUUAUUUUUUUUCCCUUUUAAAGGGUUGCCUCAUGAGGUUCCUGUUCAGAGAUGCAUGCUGGCGGGUUGCAAUGCCACUGAGAAUGGAAGGUCCAGAGCUGCAGCAGGAGUAAGGAACUUGGAAAAUGCAACUGGUGCGGAAGAGCGAGCAAGGUCACUGGUGACAAGGCUCUGCUCCAUCUGUGCAGGCACGCUCUUGAGCAGAAGCAUUCCAGCAACAUGGCAUUCGGUCACAUUAUUCCAUUCCUUAUAAAUUUCAAUAGCCAGUUAUUUGCCUGCCUUUGGUUGGGAAACAAAGCCCCUCUUUGUGCAGCAGCACAACGUGGCUAUCUCAUGUAACGGAGAAAUGAAAUGCAAAUAACACAGGAAUUGUGCUUGUCUAGGGAAGAAGGAAGCAUUGUCUGGUGACAAGAGCAGAAGAAGGUGGUGCUGCCUAGUGCUUCUGACUGUCAGUCCUAAAAGGUGGAUGAAACCACCAUUAGUGAGUCUUCUGAUAACGCUGACAUAAAACCUCCCAUGUCCCCAUUUCAUCAUUCCCAGAAUAGGGACAAAAAUUAAUCUCCUCUUUUAUGCAAUUCAGCAAAGCAUUUUAAGCUGCCCUUUUUCUUUUUAAGUAUACAAGAUGUCCAACUGCCUACGCAGAGCAACAUUCACGCUGAGGUAUGCAGUGGCAUUGGGUCUGAAUUAUUUGUAAAGGACUUAGAGAAGUCUAAGUGAGAGUCAUUAAAUUACAGAGUUAAUAAACUCUUUCAGCCAUUUUUUCCUUUUUAAUCCAUUUUCUCAAGGAAGUGAGAAUUUUUAUGUGAAAUGUCCAUAUUUUCUUUAUCUUUUUUGUUCAGGCGUAGUACAGAGUAAGUGACUACUUGAAAAUCACGAUGUAAAAGCAGUGAGAGGCUUUGCCCCUCUUUCAGCACAUCCUCAACAUCUUGUUGGAUCAGGGCAUUCAUUCAGCCUUUUUUAAGCUGUGUGUACUGACACCAUGGUUCUUUGUUUAUACCUCCUUCUUUUCCAUCUUAUUUUCCUCUUCUUUCUCCAGCCUUUUCUGCUCCAUCCCACCUCUUUGCUACUUCUGAGGUCAAAUCUAUAGGAGAUGUUCUGCAGGGUGAGCAAAGAGUGAGGAAGAUGCUCAGCAAAGGAGCAAGGGGGUUGUUUGGCAUCACUCCCCUCAAAGAGGAAUGCUAACUUGCAUUGUCCAUAUGAAGAGCUAUUCAGAGCUCAAAUGGGUGACAGUCAGGGGACAGCUUGACCUCUGGCACUAGCUAGAACUGGGCAGCAACAUGAGCCAGUGCAGUCAUGCUAAUUAACAUACCCUGAGGGGACACAGUGAGGCACUGGCUCUGUACACCUGAGACAUACUUCUGGCGGUGCCAAGGUGCCAACUAGAGUGUUCUCUCAUAAAAACAAUCCAUGCAAAAAAAAAAAAAAAUUAAAAAAGGCAAAAUUCCAACUUAUGUAGAUGGAACAAUACUUAGACAUAAAAUAGCAAAGUGUACUUAUUAAUCACAGAAUCUUUUGAGUUGGAAGGGACCCUUAAAGGUCGUCUAGUCUCAUUCCCUUUCAGUGAACAGGGACACCCACAGCUCCAUCAGGUGCUCAGAGGCCUGUCCAGCCUGACCUUGAAUGUCUCCAGAGACAGGGCAUCCACCACCUCUCUGGGCAACCUGUGCCGAUGCCUCACUGCCCUUAUUGUAUAAAGAUUCUUCCUUAUUUCCCAUCUAAAUCUCCCCUCUUUUAGUUUGAAACCAUUUCCCCUUGUCCUAUCUUCUAUUCCUUAUCUACAUCCCUUUGUCUUUAUCCUACAUGUCUUUCUGACACAGUGAUACAAGGCAGGACAAACUCUGCUGUACUGUAUUGAAGUGCAGAAGCCACAUCCCUGGUGUGGGCAGCAGCAUCUUCAUUAACCUGGCUCACCUGCUUGGGCUGAAGGCACUCACACUCAUCACCUGGGGGCAGCCUCCCAUUGGGAGCAAGGGUGAGGAUCUGAGGCCACCUCUGUAGCUAGCAUGGGGAUGUCUGGGAAAGGACUUCAUUCUACACUGGUGCCCGAUGGAAAAUGAAUCUACUUCAAAGUAUGUUUGUGGUGGAUGGGGGAUCAUAUGCAUGCACUCAUUUGAAAUAGCUGAGUGUUUCUGAUGAAGAAGUCCCAAAGGCACUUAACCCCAAGGACCUUAACCCCAAAGACAAAACCUUUCUACAGAAUGCCCUUCGCUCGGCUAGCUAUGAGAAGAUCAAUGCUGGGAUUGAU